UACGUAGGGUGCAAGCGUUAAUCGGAAUUACUGGGCGUAAAGCGUGCGCAGGCGGUGAUGUAAGACCGGUGUGAAAUCCCCGGGCUCAACCUGGGAACUGCAUCUGUGACUGCAUCGCUGGAGUACGGUAGAGGGGGAUGGAAUUCCGCGUGUAGCAGUGAAAUGCGUAGAUAUGCGGAGGAACACCGAUGGCGAAGGCAAUCCCCUGGACCUGUACUGACGCUCAUGCACGAAAGCGUGGGGAGCAAACAGG
rnacentral:rRNA from 1 species